GCUGAAAACCAAACCACUGUACAUGCACCGAUUUGGUCAUAUUUCAGAAGCUAAGCAGGCUUUGAGCUUGCUUAGCACUUUGAUGGGGGACCACCGGGGCUUGCCACGUGUCGUAGGCA
rnacentral:rRNA from 1 species